GUGCAGCUCAUUGCCAGCAGGGGUGCACGCAUACCUUGGGGCAGACAGUGGGGAAGUGUCUGGACUAUGCUACCACAAGAAGGAUCAGGCCCCUUGUGGCUUCCUCACCAUCGUGUACCUGGUGCUGGCAACGAACCAGGCUGGGGUUCUGCAGACCCUGGUGCAGCCGCUUCUAGCCCCAGGCAGCCAUGCGCCUGCAGCAGCAGCAGCAGGUAAUGGGCUUCCCAGCCCACUGCUGCCACUUGGAGAACAAAUGAAAACAGGAAGAGGCAGGUCCCUGGUAGAUGUAUGUGAUCAGUUAACUGUUUCACCAAUAACAUUAGGGGAGUUUAACUGGGUACUUAAUUGGUAUUUAUAUCCCUAGCCCUAGUGUAGAUGGACAGGAAGCUGCUGUUAAGUUUCGGUAUGGUGUUCGUCAUAUCUACUCAUUAAGAUAAGAUUAUUUAAAAUGUUACCAGCAUCUAGUGACCGGUCUACAUUAGUACUCCUAAUACUGCUAACACUGAGGUUUUAAACCCUUUUGGGAAUAAUUUUUUUUUUUAAUCUAGUAUUAUUGGGCCAAAAUAGUAACACCUAAUUCAACGCUGAGACUGAGUUUCACAGUAGUUGAGAAUCUUAAGUGUGCCACUCUAUAAUGUAUUACUUGAAUCCAUCAGUAUAUAUGAAAGAAACUUUUAUUCCAAAAUUAAAUCAAGUAGCAAAUCUAAUUAUAUUAGUGAACAGUCAAUAUAAAUUCCAGUUUGAGUAUGUGUGUGCAUGCGCACAGGCAUGCACACACUGUGCAUCAAUUAAACUUUCAUUCCAGUUUAGGGGAGGGGCAGUGGGUAUAUAUUUAGGCAUUAAAAAUAUUUGAAGAAUUUGACCAGAAUAUUUUAAGAACAUUGGUAUGAUCAGAAAGAAAGUGACUAAGGACCAAUACGACACAAAACAAUUGCCUGAAAUUCAAAGAAUAGGGAAGGUGUCUCUAGUUAAUCUACCACAGGCUUCUAAAGAAAAUAAUUUUGUCAUCUGCUAAAGCAACCAAAUGCAAAUGGAGAAACAGGCUAAGGCUGUGUGAAAUUUCGCCCAGCAUUUCGAGCUCGAAACAGUGACAUUGAAACGAAAUAAAAGCCUUCAAAACAGCUUCACAACGAAACAAGGGAACUUGAAAUGGCAGGCAGAUUGGGGGCAUGCACCCCCAGGAGGACUCUGGCACAGCCUCUGCAGCCCUCCCAGUGGUAUGGGUGAGCCCCUGAUCUGCCUGCAAGCCACAUUUUAUGAUUCCCCAUUAUACCCUAUGGAUGAAACAGUGAAACAGCAUCAAAACAGCGAAACAUUUUCAACAAAACGAAACGGAACACUGAUGUUGAAAUGAAACAAAACUCAAAACAAAACACUGUUCCAUCAAAACGGAAGUCGAAGCGGAACGAUGCUGUUUCGCACAGCCCUAAUAAUAAGGAACUGCUGGUAACUGUUUGCCUCACCUUCUCAACUAUAAGCAGGUAUUUUUUUUCAUUCCUCUAUAUUUAAACUUUCACUCCCAUUGCUUUAAAUCUACUGCAGUCACAUUUAAUUUUUCCCUGGCUUUCAUAACUCUUAUUUGGAUCUGGUACCCUAUUCUUCAUGGUGGUGUGGUAAUAUGCACAUCUUUGAAAUGUUGUUUUACCAUGUGUCGGGCACUGAAGCACAGAGUUCUUCUUCAAGUGCCUGUACAUUCUACCUUCUUCACAUGCACAUUCUACCAUGGGUAUGCAAGUGCUUCAAGCACCCAAGCUGGAAGACAUUUUUACCCUAGUAACUCAUACAGCACACAUGCAGCCUGGUUUGUGCCACAGGCAGAAAAGGUGGUAUGGGCUUUCUUCUCUUCAGUUCCCCUCCACUGGGUUGGCUGGAAACAGAACUUCUGCAGUCUGUUCCAGACUGGGUGCAUCUACAUGAGACGUGUACAGGCAACCCCCGCUUAACGCUCUUAAUUGGUUCUGGGAAAACCAAGCAUUAAGCGCAACUGCGCUAAGGGAAACCCAUUUCCCCAUAGGCAUUAAUGUAAAUAGAAAUAAUUGGUUAUUGCCGCUUCUUGCCAUAGCUUCUCACCAUCGCUACCACCUUUCCCCACCCCUCUGCCUGCCUGCUGGCCGCUCCAUCCCCACGUACCAGUCCAUGCCCCACGCUCCUGGCAGCUCCAGUACCACGGGGCCCUGCGCUCUGCUUCUCACCACCACUGCUUCUCCCCACCCCCCCGUCCACCAGCCACUCUGGCACCAUGUACCAGCCCAGGCCCUGUGCUCCUGCUACCCUGCCUGCAUUCAUGCCUGCCCCACCCCUCGCUGCUUCUUGCUUCCGCCGCUUCUCCCCGCCCACCCUGCCCGCCCGCUGCUCCAGAACCAUGUGCCAGCCCGGGCCCCCCACUCCUGCUGGCCCUGGCCCCCCACCCAGUCACUGCUUCUUGCCACUGCUGCAGCUUCGCUGAGUGCUAUAACAAAACUGGCUCAGCACUAAGUGAAAUCAGGUAUGAAUUUUAAAUGAGCACUAUAGCGAAAUAGCACGAAGUGAAACUGCCUUAAGCGGGGGUUGCCUGUACCGUGGAGUUGCCUAAUUAGCUCUGCAGUAAAUUUUCAGCAUCUACACAUGCAGCCCUAUUAGGUCACAGUAAACUAAUAAAUGUGGCCACAGUUUUCUACUUGUAAACACAAGUAUUAUCCUGCAGUGGCAUUAUUUAGUGUGCUGUAAUGCAUGUGUAGAUGCUGUCGAGGCUGUGGAGGGCACAAGGGUGCCCCAGCCAACUCCUCUACAGCACAUUGAGCUGGAUUGGAACAAUGCCAGGCUGGGUCCCUGGGCCCCCUGCCAGCUGGGGUGGCUCCAACCUAGCUCAAUGUGCUGUGGUCCUGAGUGCAUGUGUGAACACAGUCCCCAGGAGCAAUAAACUCCAGCACAAUGUGCCAGAGUUUACACACAAAUUUCAUGUGUGGAUAUGGCCACUAUGCACCUGGCCUACAGAAGUUUAUUGAAACCUGAUUUUUUUUUCUACCUUAUUUUUUCUUUCUGUUUCUAAGUUAUUUAAAGUUUACUCUUUCUUAGUUUUCAUAUUGUUAUUUUGGUCUCCAGUAUGUUUCAGCAAAGCCUGAGGCUUCCCUUGUCUGCACCACAUAGCUUCUGUCUCCAAAGUGAGAUUUCACUUUUUCCCUUGCUCUAAUAAGGCCAUACUCCCAACCAUCAUGAUGGCUUCCCCCAGGUCUCCUGCUUUCACGAUAUACCCCUCCUGGAUCAAUGACUGCCAUGGAUGGGCAUUGUAUAUGCUUCUGUUCCUCAGAGGAAGCUUAAACACUUGGCAUGUAUGUUAUAGCAAACUGUUCACUUCCUGAUUCUGGAAGGACUGUAUAGCUAGUCUCUAGGGUUACCUCUGAGGUUAGUCUAGGGUGUCAGCCUCAGACCUCACAGUGCAGCAUUUGGCUGGGUACAGGCAGGAGCUCAAAUUCCCUCUUGAGUCUAUUCUUGGCAUUAGUGCCAGAGAAAUCCUCCGAUGAGCACAGGCCCAGAGAUAAGUCAAGGGAAAAUCCUCAUUUAGGACAUUCAUUGCAAAAAUGUUUGUUGCCCUCUGCUUGCUUCUCUGUUUCUAAGAUUUCACGGUCCCAUGUGGAAGCUACCACAGCUCAGAAAUGCUGUAGCACCAAGGUCUCAGCCCUGAUACCUAGUUCUAGAGAAUCAACCUUUUAGGUAUCUGGAAAACAGGAAAAGAGGUGACCAAAAGAUUUCUCACCUUCCCUUCAGCACUGUCUAACUCUGGCAGUCUUCUACCCCAGCUCCAAGGAAUUUGGGCAUAGCACUGGCUGGUCCACCUCAGUAUCCUUUAACCACUCCAAAUCAUCUGCAGUCCUGACAUCCCUUGUGAAGCUGCCUUAUUUUACUACAUUGAGUGACCUCACUGUCCAGCUUGACCUGCAUUCCCUGCUGCUCUCCUUGGCUCUGCUGGCACUAAUCUCAGAUCCAUCGAUUCCAGCUCCAGUUUGGGUUACAGAAUCAUCUCCAAUUCUGGGACUUUUCAUGCUACCAAUUGAGGUCUCAUUGGCAGAUAGUACAAAAUCCAAGAAUGACCACAGAUCCUUUUCUCCCUACCCUAGCCAUAUAAUCCCUCCAGAGAAAAGCACUGAACCUUCAGAGUCCUGCCUGAUGCCUCCAGGUUUUCGGUCCAGUGGUUGCACCAGUCACAAGCCCCAUAUUCAAGAGGUGUUUCCAAGGUCAGAUCCGACAGCCAUCUGACACAGACAUUUGUCUCAGAGACUGGAGGAACUUCCUGACCUUCACCACUGUCUUCCUCCUAUUCUGAUGAAGUAGCUGUCCAUCCUUUGGCACCUCCAAUAGUCAACUUUAGGAGCUUUCAGAACCUCAUAAGAUAGAGGUGCAGGCUUUGAAAAGUUCAGAGGAGGAGGCUGAUGAUGACACCUCACCUAGCCUUCUGGACAUUUUACAACAGUCUACAUAUAACAAAUCAUCUAACCCCUCAAUGAGGUAGUAAUAGACCUGGCCAGGGAACUGUGGGACCACAACCAUGUUUGUCCCAACUACAAAGAAAGUUGGCAAAUAAUAGUCUCUGACAGGGUUGUGAAUUUUUCUGCACGUACCCUACUCUUCCUUAGCUUAACUGCAUCUAACAAGAAGGUGAAACUACUUUAUAACACCUUGAAAGUUAAGACAACAAAGUGAUUGGAUUUGCUGGGAAGGAAAUGUUAUUCAUUUGCUGUUUUGCAGUUACAGGUACUACCUGCCAGGUACUAUUGUCCCUGGGACUCCAGAAUUUAUUAGCCCCUGUUAUCCUAUGACAAGCAUGGAAGGAGAUCUACAGUAGUUACUUCCUAAUGCCAAAGAGAACAGGAAGGUAGUGCUUUAUCUUGGAUUUAAGAAAGCUCAGUUUCUUCAUCUACAAGCUCAAAUUCAAGAUGGGUACUAUAGCCAGCAUAAUCUCUUCCCUGAAUUAUAAGACAAGUUUGUAUCUCCUUUACCUAGAGGUUGCCUAUUUCCACAUUGCCAAAAUGCCUUAAUACAAAUAUCUUUUAUUCCACUACUAAUAAAGAAUCCCGCUCUUUGGAUUCUUCAUUGAAGGACAGCUCUACCACAGUUGACAGAGAAUCUACAACCAUUCUAGACUUGAUCCAGUCCCUGGGCCCCAUGGAAAACACCCAGAAGUUGAACUGAGGUUUAAAAAAGUAUAAGCAAGUGAGGUAUAAACUAAGGUUUUGGGGUCCUAAUUUAACCAAAGCCAACUUCCCUAUUUCAGUGCUUGCUGGAUCUCAUCAUGCAGGUCAAAGUUAAGCUGAUGAUAAAAGCCAGGAUUGCCUACCCAUCUAAUAUGUAUGGUCUCCUGAACCUUUCUGACAGUUGAUGUCAGCCAAGACCUAUUUACAACCCACCUCUUCUCCAGGAAAACACCCUGCUUGUAACUGUUCUCAUAUUAGGCAUGUGCCGUAAGAAUUCGGCUGGGACACAGAUGGCCAGGCUUGCAGGUAAGCCCUGGAGGGCAAUCAGAAGGUCAGCUAGGUGGGGGUACAGGUUAACAGGGUGUCAGAUCAGGGUCUGGAUCAGUGGAGUGGGAAACAUGGGACCCACUUCAGGAGAGCUGACAGGGAGAUCCAAGAGAUGUAGUCCUGAGUGCAAGCCAAAGUCAGAAGCCAGGAGAACCAGAGAGCCAGGUGCUGAGUUGCAAGGAAGAUCUGAGUGCAAGGUCAGGGAAAGCCAAAGCUGAGUCAGGAGCCAGGAGAAUCAGACAGCCAGUACCGAGUUCCAGGGAAGAUCUAGGAUCAGGGCCAAGUCAGGAGCCAGGAGAACCAGAGAGCUGCGAAUGCAAGGCUUGCCAGAGCAGAUUGAGGCUGUUGCCAAGGCAUGCCUGCAGCCUGAGGCUGCAGAUGUGCUUGAAAGGGCUGACUGGCACUCUCCGCAGCCAAUUUAGUUACAGAGAAUGGGACAGUUGCAUUAGUCCAGGACCAAGGUCAGGUGUGGAAGCUCAAGAACUCAGCCUGACCUGGCCUGGCCUGACUGGAGACCUUGACACAUCCUCUGCCACUUGGAAAAAUCCAGCCAACAUUUUCAGAAGGGGUCCUCUUUUUUUGUACCUCUCAACUGUCACCAACAAAACAAACAAGAACUGGUCCAUCAAUCUCCAGAUACACCUCUUGGUACUGCAUAUCCCAGGUCUUUAGUCAAACCUCAGCCAUCACUUCUUUCUGCAUCAUGAAUGGGAGAUCAGAGACUUUGUUCUGCAUUUUCUUGGACAGAAGUCAUCCAAAAAUUUAUUUUUGCACCUCAGAUGACAACAAGAAGUCCUAGACCUCUGCUCCAGGAAAGGACCUAGCCCAGACUCACAGUCCGAUUCCAGCCAUCUGCAAAGCAGUUACCAGAAACCUCAUACGCUCCCUCACCAAACAUUAUACAAUAGCAAAAGCCUCCAGAGUGGGCAGUGCAUUUGGCAAAGCUGUCCUGUUACUGUUCAUAGAGGACUGCAAUACCUGCCUCCAGGACUGGUUUGGAGCCACCUGCAAUGGACUGUGAGUAUGGGUAGGUACUUGAAGGAAAAAGAGAAACAUACUUGGCAGAAACUGGAGUUAUUCAAUACGAGUUGUCUGUAUACAUACUUAACAUCCCACCAUUCUUCCCCGCUUCCUCAGAGUCCCUGAAAUGCUAGGAUCUUUGAAAGGAUACUGUAGAGAGGGUAGUGCACAGCACUUGUGCCACUGAUGCAAUGCAUGUGGAGCAGGUAUGGCACAGGAGCACGUACAUGGAUACUGCUAGGGUAAGCAAAUACUCUAAGGUCAAGUGCUUGAGGUGUAUGCAAACCCACAGUAAAUAAGAAUAUGCGCAACAUGUCUCAAAGAGCUUCAGUUGCUGGUAAGUAAUUUUUCUUCUCACUGCACUCACAUUUUGGAUACCUAGAUAGAUUUGUUCCAACACAUCCCAAACUGGAUGUUUUUUUCUUUUUCCAGACCUUCUUUAUUUUCCCAAAGGCGAAAUAUCAGGAAGCUUUGGAUGUGUAAUGCAAGGGACCCUCCUGCAGUUCUGCAGCAAAUGUCAUUAUCUCAAAUGUCAGGCCAGAUUAAACACUGGUGCACUUCAGGGUCUGGAUCCUGGUUGAGGCUGCUGAGAAUAGAAAUCUCCAUCCUUAUCUGAAUCGGGAAGAACAAAGAGCUGGAUUCUGUAAUGUGCUCAGCCCAUGCAUCUACUGAUUUCAGUGGGAACUGAAGAGGAGCUCAGAUUUUUGCAGCAUUGGACUCCAACAUUUCUGUUCACAGACUUUUAAAAGUGGAAAUGAGUGGGGGACAGCCUCUGUUCUGGAGGCAGAAGCAGCCCUGCUAUUUUACCAGAGGAAGUCAAAGAUUAACUGUACAAUGGAGGUAUUAACAUUAAUCUCUUGGUGAAAUCCAGCCCCUCAGAGUAACCUUGCCCCAAACAUGCUGGACAUAUACACACACUUUCAUCCAUGAACAGCACUGCAGCACAUGUUCACCUGACUUGUACACUUCCUGAGAGGGAAAGGCAGCUAGAAAGGGACUGAAGAGAAAGAUGAAGAAGGAAAUCCAGGCAAUUUAAAAGAUUUCAGUUACAAAUUCUGAGGGCCUGACAGAACUUGGAUGAUCAAAACCAUUCUCCUCAGCCUCAAUAAAUGGCUGCAGAGAGCAGAGGAGCUGAAGUGGCUAUGGACUCCACCUCUGCAAGGAAUUCUGUGGAAUGUCUUCUAUAGCAUGGCAUAGCCCCUGUAGAGGCAUGGCUCCCACCCCUCUCCUGGGAAUAGGAGCUAACCUCCACAGCUGCAGAACUAAACAGGCUCCAAGAGCUUCCACUUUCCAGCAGCUGUACUGGCUAUUUUCUGCAAGACCCUGAAUAUUUUCAGUGAAAAGGGAGCCUGACUGACAUGUGUGUGAGCAGAUAUGCACAUGCACACACACACAUAAAGGUAUCUGUACAGAAAGAGAUGUGUGUGUAUGUGUGUGUGUAAUCCUUUUGGUGCUGUAUAUUCAAAGCGGGGACAAAUAUAACUUUAUCCUUUAAAAUAAAAAUGCCAUAUUUACUCUGAA